AAGCGCUCAUGACCAGACUUGUGCCCUGCGGAUCAGCCGGCGUUCUCGCCGGUGUCUCCGCAGGCUCAGGCCAGCAUCGGUUUUCGCGGGGGGAUAAAGGCUUAGGGAACGUGGCUCCCCCGGGGGUGUUAUAGCCCUUCGCAGAAUACCGCCGCGGGGACCGAGGACCGCGCUUCGGCAAGGAUGCUGGCGUAAUGGUCAUCAGCGA
rnacentral:rRNA from 1 species